GCUCAGUAGACUAUGUUUGUAGGAAAGUGGUUUUCGCUACAAAUACUAAUCGUUUUAUUCUAACUGGCAUUUAGAUAGUCAGAGAGAAAGGAAAAGAAUUUUAUCUUAUUCUAGAGCGAAGUUUGUGCCAAAUAGUUUGCUACGUCUGAGGAAAUAUUUUUGAUAUUUACUGCUUUAGCUUACAUAGCACCAGUAACGAGCGAUCAAUUGUGUGUAUUCCUGGAAAGAUCAACUGACAGAUUGCUACGGUAUUCUUGUAUACUUGGUCUUUCAAUUUGCGAGGAAACCAAACCUAGACGAAGCUAAUUAUUUCUUGAUUCGGAACGUGUCGGAUAUUAUUAAGUGAAAACAUUAAAAUACGUUAUAUUAGCUACAGGAGUUUAUACUGUUGACAGGACAUGUGAUAAACAUGUAUUAUAUGUCAUUGUUUAUCAGAACGCGAGCAAGAAGAUAUAUCUAAUACAAAACGUGGAUUUUAUUCAAUAUCAUACAUGAUACAGUGAUUCAUGGACAUAGAAAGUCAAGAACAUGUGAUGUUUAAAGCCUAUAUAUAAUAUGUAUAAGUUUGGUCCUUCAGAAUAAAGAACAUUUUAACUUGAUGCUGAAAAUACUGACAGAUAAAUAAAUCAUG